rnacentral:rRNA from 1 species
AUUGAACGCUGGCGGCAUGCUUUACACAUGCAAGUCGAACGGUAACAGGCCUUCGGGUGCUGACGAGUGGCGAACGGGUGAGUAAUGCAUCGGAACGUGCCCAAUCGUGGGGGAUAACGUAGCGAAAGCUACGCUAAUACCGCAUACGAUCUAUGGAUGAAAGCGGGGGAUCGCAAGACCUCGCGCGAUUGGAGCGGCCGAUAUCAGAUUAGGUAGUUGGUGGGGUAAAAGCCUACCAAGCCUUCGAUCUGUAGCUGGUCUGAGAGGACGACCAGCCACACUGGAACUGAGACACGGUCCAGACUCCUACGGGAGGCAGCAGUGGGGAAUUUUGGACAAUGGGCGCAAGCCUGAUCCAGCCAUGCCGCGUGAGUGAAGAAGGCCUGG